AAAAAAAACUACUCCAAACUAUGUUUUAUUAUAACACAAAGAUAGAGACUUAAAAACUCCUCCAUGGGUUCCCAAUGUGAAUUGUGCUGGGAACAAAAAAUAAUGAAAUCUUCAACGUAUUUUUUUUAAGGAGAAAUUAAAACCUUCAAAACGUGCAAGUUGGGGGGCAUGGCAAUAAUUGGUAUCACAGUGAGCGCUGUGCGGUGAGCCCUGCAUGCUGCAGCCCCUGGGGGUGAUGGAGGCAUCGCCUGUGUUUCUGCGGCACCGCUGUCUUGAGCCACCGUGUUUGAGUUUCUCCAUACAUUUGUUCGCUUUCCCUCCAUGACCUCUUUGGGUUUCUUUUCUGUGGCUGCUCCAGCAAACAUGUACACUGGCAGGAGCGAUGCUGAAGCAGCAUGUUUUAAUGCAAACGGUGCUGGCUUAUUCGUAGGAAGCGACUUUCAAAUUCAUGAUCAUGAAUAUUUGCACGGUAAAGCUGAUUCUGUUGUGCGCUUUUAUUUAUAAGCUGAGCAGCAGUGCCUGGUGGUGCCUCUGUGUCAGGGAGUGUCCUAGCAGAGCAGCUCCGAUUUCCGACUGUGAAGGGGGAGCAGCGCUGGCAGCAGGCAAUUUGCUGGGGAUACGUCUGCUGAUAUAUUCGCUGCAUAAUUUCUAGCAAGGAGAAAUUUCAUGGAGGCUAUGAUCUGCUUGUGAACAGAAAUAAGGUGUGAAUGGGAUGAAUAAAUUGUUCUCUGCGAAUGGUUUGCGAGCUCAGGAGGACUUUUUGAGAAGCACUGCUGUCUUUCCUCUGUGCGCUGGUGCUCAGCUCCUGUGUGCAAAUGGGCGCUGGGGAGAGCUGUCCCAAGUGUCUUUCCUCCAGCACGUGCUGACUGCUGGCCCCCAAAGUGAGGGCUUCGCCGCCUGUGUCUCUCUGUCCCCUUUCUGUCAGUACUGCUAUCUUUCAGCAUCACAACAUGAGCCUUUUCCCCGUCUCUUGGGCUGUGGCAUGGGGCUGUGCCAGGGACAUCCCCACUGUGUCUCAGGGUGGGUUGGUGACUCUGCGGUGCUGCUGCGCUGGGGUGCAGCAGCUGUAGGAAAUUAGAGGAGCCAUGGGGCUGUUCUGGGAAACACCAGCGGAGAUCCCUGAGGUUUCCAGAGCACAGUCUCUCACAGACCAAACCACAGGGUCCAACAGGAGUGAUGCCAUUGGGAAUACUGGGAGCAGUGAUGGGCUCAGUGCUCAGAAACUGCCAGGCAGGUCCUCACUUGUCACUGCUUGAUGGCUGGGUUGGUGGCAGGGCUGUGGGGCAUUGCAUGCCCAUUCCUGUGCCAGAGAUGCAGCAUAGCUGCUGCAGUGUCUCGCAGGAUUUCUGAAGCAGUGAAGAUGAAGGCUUGCCCUCUUCAGCUUUACUUUGUGGAAACUUGAGGCCUUCAGGACUUGCUCUAUCUGUUUCUGGCUUGUGCCCACAGAGAGGUGCCUGGCUUGUAGAAUACCUGCUUCUCUCAUGAACGGGGGCACAGUUCCCUUUGGUUUCACCUGAGCAGAUGAGAGCCUGAUUGCUCGUCCCCAGAUGCUGCUUCCCAUCUUUCAUGGAACUAAAACCUUCCAGAAGGAGUGUCUAAGAGCCACGUCACAUGAAGCAGUAAUGUUUGCACUGGGACUCAUACAUUAGCACAUGCAGAUGUGCAAAAUGCUGGGCCCAGCGAUCAGCUUAGCAACCUCAGGUCUGAUGAAGCUGUGCUUCAUUUGUUCUACCUGAAGGCUGGAUCCACUUCUUGCCACCCAAACCACCUUUCCUUUAGAUCUUUGUCAUGAAGACUCCAACUCUGGAGGUAUUGUGUCCUGUGCCCCAUGGGCCUGCCCGCAGCCUGCAGCCACCCAAGCGUGGGGUGAAUUCCCUGCUGCUUUAGCUCAUCCCCCAUUUUGAAGCAGCCCCAGCCUGGGGGCUUGUGGGGAGAUGUCUCCCUAUUAGAUGCAUGGCCUGCAAUCACCACAAGCUGUGGGAAACCAUCGGGGUCCUCUGCCCGGUGUGGGUCAGGCUCAUCCUCAGGUGUCCCCCAGGGACAGAUCUGGACCUGCGUUGUUCUGCACCGUGGGCCAAAUACUGCAUUUUCUGACAUCCUUCCUCCCCUUUAUCAAUAAUUUUAAUCAUUUUAAUAACGUCCCCUCACACGGAUAGGAUUACAAUUAGGGAAAGUCAGAGCCUUGUUAUCAUCUAAUUGGAGUCACAUUUCAGCCAAAGAGAAAGGCAGAUCUUCAGGCACUGCUUUGUGCGGUGCAAUGGGAAGAACGUGGUGAUGCAAACCAGCUGCAGGCUGGGCUGUGGGGCGUGGGGCAGGCCGGGCACCGGACCCCACUUGAAGCCCUCUGAAGCCAUGGGUGCAAAGUGCUCCUGGGCAGCUCUGGCAUGGCAAAGAGCUGUGGUGUGUUCCAUCACAAACAGUGCCACUGUCCGGCCCCAGCAGCCAAGGGAGUCAGUGUAGCAACGCAACCCAAACCAAAAUAAACACCGGUUUGCACUGCCAGAAUGCCUUUAUUGUUCUGUGGGGGAAGAGGGAGACAUUUUGGGGCUGGGAGGCAGAGCCAUUCCCCUCCAUGAGCUGCAAUGGGUAGAAAUGGAGGAGAAGGAGGAGGAGGAGGAGGAGGAGGAGGAGGAGAAGGGCUGGGCUUCUUUUUUUCCCAGAUCAGUGUAAUCCAAAUGUUUUCCAGAGCUGGGGGAAAGAGAGCAGGGUUUCUUUAAUCAAAAUGAAAACCAUCUCUGAUUUCCUUUUAAAGCGCGCUAAAACGUUUCAUUCGACCUGAUGCGAAGCGUUGCAUUUCAUUUUGAGUUUUAAUUAAUUUUGUGAUCCUUUCAUUAAGCUAAUUUCAAAGGAGAAAUGUUUCUCUUAAAACUGGAAGUCAGAACAUUUUGAAGAUCAUCUCUGCCUCUAAAAUGCCGCUUUAAAGCAUCGACUGCUUUGCUCUCUGUCUAGAAACCCAGGUUAAUUCCCGCCUCUGCAGAGUCUCCAAAUGCUUUGGGAGUUAAAACUAAAGAAAGGGCCUCGUUCCUCAGUGAGUGAGUGCUGCUGCCUGUGAUUCUGGGAUGAAAGGAGACGGUCUCACCUCAGCCCUCCCCGCUGCUGGAAGCACUCAAAUGCUGGGAGGCAGAGAGGCAGCCCCGGGUCAGCACUGGGGUACAGCAUGGAGCACAGAGGGACUUCCUGCUGCAGGGCUGAGAGUGUGGAGAGUGGGGCUUUGUCCCCACAUCUUGCUCGGCUGCUGUGUGCCUUAGCGUGAGCACAAGUAGGGAGCUUUGGCUCCUGUCUGCAUCUGCAUUGAGCACUGCUGGCACCAUGGGCACUCGAGACCCUGUGAUGAUUUCCCAGGUUUUAUGUUUUCACGCUUUGCUUUUUUCAGUCAAUUAAAAGAAAACAAUGAUGGGUUUGAAGGUAUACAAAUGUUUACAUGAUAUUGCGGCCAGUAAAUCCCACUCUCUGGUCCCACGGGUUUCCCUGAGCCAUCUGGGCACAUCUGAGCUCAAAGCAUUCCUAUGGGUAGAGGCAAAACAAAACUGGAAGAAAAGCAUUAAAAUUUCACCAGGCUGCACCAUGGUCUCAGGAGAUGGGUGCUUGGCUGCUGCUCUUCUGCUUUCUCUGGGGACCCAGAAAUCACUGACACCAGCCUCCACUGAGCCUUAAAUGACCUCACGUGCCUGCUGGAGCACAGCAGGAAUGUACCAUGAGAGCCCCCUGCCCCGUGCUGGCAGACUCCACCAGAUCCAACCUCCAGCUCCACAGUGCCCAUAAUUCCCAGUUAAAAGGCUGUGGGUGAAGGUGGCAAGAAGGUUCUGCGCUGUGCUGGGGAGGAGAGCUGGCUGGCAGUGAAGCCAUUGGAUGAAGUAGGAACUGCGUGGGACUCAAAUCGUUUUGGAACUUAGCAGCACCUUUGCUCCCAGAGUGAGAACUGUCAAGAUGGUCAAGAUGCCACUGAGACAGCUGGGAAGUAAAUAACUUCUUCGCACAGCCGACCAUCGGCCUCUCCAAUGGCUGCAGUGCCUGUGCCAGUUGGGGAUGCACACGGAGCUGCACGGAUAAUGGCAACAGGACAGCCAUCAGCAAGUGAUGGAGGCACGGGGUGAGGCUGUGAUGGAGGCACAGGGUGAGGCUCAGCUCCCGUGCAGUGCCGCUCUCUUCCACCAUGAGUUCAAACCAAAAGGUUAAAAGCAUCUAAUUAUGCUGAUGCUUUCCCCCCCGGAUUAAACAAGAGGAUAAAUAAGUA